rnacentral:rRNA from 1 species
CAAUAGCGUAUAUUAAAGUUGUUGCAGUUAAAAAGCUCGUAGUUGAAUUUCGGGUCCCCGCGCUCGGCGCUUCAUUGUGCCGUCGUGGUGUCCCUCCUCGCCGUAAGGCGUCCUUUACUGUGAAAAAAUUAGAGUGUUCAAAGCAGGCAAUCGCUUGAAUACAUUAGCAUGGAAUAAUAAGAUAGGAUCUUGUCUAUUUUGUUGGUUGCGGACAACGAUAAUGAUUAAUAGGGAUAGUUGGGGGUGUCCGUAUUGAGCUGUCAGAGGUGAAAUUCUUGGAUUUGCUCAAGGCGAACUACUGCGAAAGCAUUCACCAAGGAUGUUUUCAUUA